rnacentral:lncRNA from 1 species
UGCGGAUGCAAUUCGAAUUUCAGUCUUUUCAAAAUCUGUACGACAGGUAUGGAAUUUCGCUCCAGAUCAGAAUGAGAAUUAUAAUCUCUAUUACACUUACAAUUCUAACCACGACUAGAGCCAGCUCAGAUUUUUGUCCUAACUUUAGCUCAGCUCAUGCCUUGCUUGAAGCACAACGCAAGCUAAGUAUUCGUCUGGGCUAUUACUCUAAUCAAGUUUUGUAGUUACAGCCAGG